CUGCAUAUGAUGAAAUUGACUCAGAUUCCCCUUCAGGACAUUAUGGGUGAUGCAAACUCGAGAGUCUGAUGCG